UGUUGAGGAAAUCUAGGUGUCCCUUUUUAGGACAUUAAGAAAGUCAUGAGGUGGGCUUUUUCAUGGAAAGGAACGUGAUGAUCCUAGAUUCCGGAGCACCUGUAAGUUCAGGUAGUGGCCGUCUUCCAUUCUGAUGUUCUACUGGAAGGGCCUAGCUGCCUGCAGAGACAGGCAAGGCUCAUCAUUUCAGGAGGAGAGCAGCGGGAAGCAAGAUCCUCCAAGCCAAGUCACCUUGGAGGCAGGCUGGGUUGGCGGGUGGAGUCUGCUCACUUUCGGAUUCUUACAGACUGUGAAUGGACCCUCCGCUGAGCUGCCCUCCACACGGAGGCACGGGAAGGGUAUACAAAGGCUUGUUCCUCAGGUGCCCUCCCACAAACCAGGAUCUGUUUUUGCUGUGUUAAUCACAAAUAGACUAGUGGUAGAAGACUUCUGAAGAACAAAGUAAAGCUUUUUUUUUCAUUGAAAGACAUCCCAGAGGAAAGGCGUGUGCAGCUGGUGCAUUCUAACAACUGCCUUUUGGAAAACCAGGUAUUUGACCAUGUCCUAACGUGGUGGUUUUAAGCUGUUGGCUCAAAUUCUUUCAAGACAUAUUAAACCUCUGCCAACUUUUUAGUGAACUUAACAGGUUUCACAGAUGUUUUUCUCAAUUUUCAAAUUUAGGUGGGAUUUGCUUUCAUGUCCUGCUUCCAAAGCCAAGUCUCUUGACAGCACAUUGGUUUUUCCUGUUCACUUGUUCUAGUCUGCAUCAGAAAGAGAAUUACUGUACUUCUGUUUGACCACCUGAUAGGACCAGGACCCUAAGAGAUAAGGAGAUGCAAGUACUCUUGAGCUUGAAUGGAAGCAGCCUCUGGAGGGGCAGCCACGGUCCUUCAAGGGAGAGCAGCUCUUCAGCAGGUGGCCAGAGUGCCAUGUGGCUCUUUGCAGAGGAUCCCUGGGAGCCAGGUGACGGGCACCUGGGUCUUUUUUCUUUUUCACUGACUAGCUUGAUCCUCAGUGGCCAAAGGACCCCGAUCCCUUUCUCUGAGCUCUGGAGCACACCUUGGGACACCAAGUGGCCUCUGGUCUGGGUUCAGAGCUCCUCCCGCAGGUGGAGCCACGAGUGGAGGCGGCUGCUGGUGGGUGGAGUUUAGUUUCCCAUGGUUCCUAAGGCAGGUAGGCGUGUUCAUUGUUCCGUUUCCUCGAGCUCAGCAGAUCAAGUAACUGACCCUGCCACCCCACAGAGCCCCUGGCAAACUUGCUUUUUUCCCCCCUAUGGUCCUUCAGUCCCUGCUCUGUGGAAGGCCAGGCAGCUUAGGUGUAAAUAGGUAUCCUUUAUGGUUUCCAACUGAAUUAUCUGUGUAAGAGUAAUUAAAUCUGCAAGACAACCUGUAGAGAUUCUUCACUACUUUGAGGCUAAUGAUUUCUACAAAAUGUAUUUUAGCAAAAACGCCAUGAUGGCCUAAGAUCGGUAUGCUAAUUGCCAGUGGUCGUUCCAUAAGCAUUACCAACAGCUUCUUUUAGUAACCAUCUUCCAGGUGCAGGAGAAAUCUUUUCUAGGCGGUAUUUGUUAGUUGCCUGUUAGCUUUGCUUUAUGAUUUCAUAUUUCUUUUAAAGGCUGGUUUGCAUAUUGAAUAUUAAAUUCUUUUUUUCUGUGUCUUCCUUGAAUGAAUUUUUACUUUUUUCUGUAACGGGCAUUUCAGGGUAAAUACAAAUAUUACAGCAAAGCAAUAAUUUAAUGAUUGAACCUUAAUUUGCCCCCAGCGAUUCCUUAAACUUUUUUUUGAGCUUUCACACAAGCUACUUUUUCCUGAACUGGAGUGUGUUGGAGGCAGAGAUAAAUCACCCUGUGUGCUGGCUUUGCCUGCUGUGAGCCAGGGAGGAGUCCUAGAGGAGGAGGGCGCAUCAGUGACUGGGGUUUGGCCAGAUAUGCCAUAUUUGCAGAAUUAAAUCAUUUCAAGGUGCAUUUCAAGGCCUGGCAUGGUGGCUCAUGCCUGUAAACCCAGCACUUCAGGUGGCCGAGGCAGGCAGAUCACUUGAAGUCAGGAGUUUGAGAGCAGCCUGGCCAACAUGGUGAAACUCCCAUCUCUAUUAAACAUAGAAAAAUUAGCCAGGCGUGGUGGUGUGCACCUGUAGUCCCAGCUACUCGGGAGACUGAGGCAGGAGAAUUGCUUGAACCCGGGAGGCGGAGGUUGCAGUGAGCUGAGCUUGUACCUCUGUACUCCAGCCUGGGCGACAGUGAGACUCUCAUGUCUCAAAAAAGAAGAUGCAUUUUAAGUUUAGCUCUCAGCCUCCACAAAGUGUAGUGCACACCCUUUCAGUUGUACUACAAAAUUUCCCAAGCUUUUUCAGAGAACCUCAGCCCUCGCAGAAGUGGAGAAACAAUGGAAUAGAGGCCAGGAGCCCCAAGUUCAGGGUUUGCAGGCUCCCAGUAAGCUGCCUGGUCUAACGGAAGAUGAGGCGUUUGCAGCAGACAGCUCUGCCACCUCGCAGCUCAGCAGGCCUUCGUAGGUGGAAGCAGUGUCAUUGUCGCCUUUCACACCAUAAGCCUUUUCUUUCCAUGGUCAGAUGGACUUAGUAAGUUACCAGCGAUGGGCCUAAGGCCUAAGACACUGCAGAAAGUUACAGAAUGGGGAAUGAGGGGCAGAGAAAAGAGGGGUAAGAGGAACACCUGCAUUGAGGAAUAUAGUAAGACACAUCCCACCAGUGACACUCCUUGGAAACAGUCACUGCCUUAGAAACACCAGACCAGAAUUUUCUGACCCAGCCCCCCAAAGGUAGGCCGUGCAAGAUGGCGGUUAGGAAGGAGGCGGUCUAGCGGGUGAAGACUUCCUUGCCAUCCAGGUCAGCCCCCUUCUGGUUGAACAGUGGGAAGUCCUUUUAAAGCAGUCACCUGAAAAAUGUUCAGUAGAUAUUUGGGGAGUCUCUACCUUGGAAGCUGUCUGCAGGAGCCUCAUUCCUAUUAACUGCCUCCUCUUGAAGGCUAGUUUUGCUGUUUCCGUUCCUUUAUCCUGACUUAGAUAAACUUUCAGGAACUACUGUCAUGGCCUAGCUUAGAAGGACAAAAGUUAACCGGAAAGCAAAACGUUUGGGAAUCUUACACUGGGAGGACAGGGGAAACUCAGUCCCUACAGUAGCAUAGUUCAUUGUAAAUAGACAUGUUGACCAUGGUAACAUGCUAUACUUUGUGCCUGAUUGUUAAUAUGACGAGAACCGCUGGAAAAUGUACAUGAGGAAGGGAAAAUACUUGUUUCUGGGGAUAAAGAAAGGAUCAUGUCUUUUCUUUCCGUGCAGUGUCAUUGAAUUGCCUCCUGACAUAGCCCCUCCAGCAGCCAACAGGUUAAUGAGAGAUUUCUUUUGUGUGGACUGGGGUCUUUCCUUUUGGAAUCUGACUUUAAUAAAACAAUUAGGUUGCUCAUUUUGAAAUAACCAUGGUUUUUAGCAGACUUUUAUGCUAUUCUUAAUAAACAAUUUUGCCCAAAGGAUUUUAGCCAAUUCCAGAAGCCAGUGUAGUUGAGUAAUUUAGUGGGCAUGUGUAUCUUACUUAACAUGGCAUGCUAGAGAUGUAUGGGGCUGGGACCUCAACAAGCCACACCACCCCAGACACACUCAACCCUGGUCCUAGGUUUUCUCAAGUAGAAUCACCCCUUGCCUUCCUGGGAUGUGACGAUGUGGAAGUGAGACAAGGUUAUGUCCAAAGUCUGGCAUAUUUCCUGGCAAUGCUGAUUACUGCCAUUUUUUCCCAGCACGCCUGAGGGGUAUUUCAUGGGCUAUCAUCUUUAAUGUCAUCAGGAGAGCAUGUGUGCCAGUGGUUCUCAAACUUGAACAUGCAUCAGGAUCACCCAAUGCACGCUCUAACCCAGUGUUCAAACCCAGAAGACUGGUGAGGAAUCAGUGAUGGCGGCUGCACAACUCUUCGGAGUACGCUAAAAGCACUGAAUCAUAAACUUCAAAGGGGGUCUUGCUUUGUCACCCAGGCUGGAGUCCAGUGGCAUGAUCACUACUCCCUGGAGCCUCGACCUCUUGGAAUCAAGCCAUCCUCCUACCUCAACCACCCACGUAGCUGGGAUUACAGGUGUGUGCCAAUUUUGUAUUCUUUGUAGAGCAGGGGUUUUGCUAUGUUUCAUAGGCUGGUCUCGAACUCCUGGGCUCAAGUGAUCCACCCGCCUUGGCCUCCCAAAGUGUUAGGAUUACAGGCAUGAGCUACCGUACCAAGCCGGCUUUGCAUUUCUAGUAAGUUUCUGUGUUGGGCUAGUCCCAGGACCACUUUGGAGAAGCCAGGUUCUAGCCCAGCCAUGCAGUGGAAUGCCUAAAUAGGGCUGGUACGGUUUAGGCGCGGCCUUACUCUUCAGAUAGCAUUCUCUUAGCGUCAUUUAAAUAGUUUCUGUUAGAUGUUCAUAGUUCAGGAAAACACUUUGAUGGAUAACUUAAAGUCUUUGCAGUUUUUUUUUAAAACUAGGAAAUACCCCUUAUAAACCAAUAAAUGCUGUGUAACAUCGGAAAGGUUAAAAAAUAUGUCUCAAAGCUGUGCUGUGAGGACUGACCAAGAUAAUCCAUAUAAAGCACCUAGCCAAUGCUUUGCAUACUAGCCCAUUAAGAGCCAACAGUUCUCAUUCCAACUUGUGAAGAUUUUAAUCCAACAGAGACCCUUGGUCUGAAUGGUUUAAAAGUACUCUCGUUCCCCAACAAGGAGACGGAUAAUAAACUGGUCUCCUUCUCACCUCCAAGCCGACCCUCCUGUUGUUCAAGGGGUUCUAGUUGUGGCUUCUGUGUGCUGCUUCUUCCACAGGUCUGACUUGUGUUAAUGCCACGUGCAUCAAAGAGCAACAUGAAACUCACACGCGGGGAUUUUGUUUACUUUUCAUUUAUUCACAUUUCAUGGAUUGUUACACUGCCUUGAUGGGAGCAUUCAAAAACUAAUACAGCUGAGAUAAUAUUGUCUGACAAUUCAAGUAUUUUAGUUUUAGAAAACAAUUUCCUAUUUAAAGUGAAAAGCAAACAAUUUAUCCAUCUGAUUGCUAAGAAGUUUUACAUUUCUGUUACAAUUGUGUCUGCAUCAAAUGUCCUCAAUAUGAUUGUUACUAGCUGAGAACGGACAGUGGCCUGUGUUGAGUGCCAGAUUGGAAGAGACCUCACUGUCAUCUACCAUACUACAGGACACACCAGUUUCUACUUAAAACUCCCACCUCCAGAAUGACAGGACUCAUCAGGGGUUUAGGAGUUUGCAAAGCCUUCAAAUGCAUCAUGCUUGAAUUUUGACUCUUCUGAAAUAGUGUAACUGACAAAUGCUCAAAAAACAAACUUGUUUACCUUUAGCUUUUACUGAAAAGGCUCUCAGUGAAAAUUUGUUUUGAACUCUUAGAGAAGAAUAAGGUAGAGUAUUAGUUUUUCUUCCACUCUACACCAGAAAAGGUAGCUGUUUUUUUUUUUUUGGCAUGCAGCAUAUAUAAAAUGUGAUCUAGAAUUGAAAUUGUAAAAUAGAAUAAUCCUCUUAAAAUCAGUCCAUGAACAGUCGGACUUAUCUUUCCGUGGAAAACAAUCUAAACUAAUUUAAAAACUGGACAGAUUUUCAGUCUGCAAUUCUAAUAAUGAAGAUGGCAUAACAAAUUUUUUUGCUUACUAGGAAUGCACAAAAGGAUGAGAUGGACACAUAGGUUUGUUUUUUUUUUAAAAAGGCCACUGUGAUACUUAGUAUUUGUCAAGAUGCCAAACAAUUUUAGAAUAACAAAAUACACACCUUACUUUAGGCCUGUAUGUGAAAAAAUUCAUAGAUUCUCAGACAAAAGAUGAAAAUUUCAGUCCACA